AGUGAACGCUGGCGGUAGGCCUAACACAUGCAAGUCGAACGGCAGCACAGUAAGAGCUUGCUCUUACGGGUGGCGAGUGGCGGACGGGUGAGGAAUACAUCGGAAUCUACUUUUUCGUGGGGGAUAACGUAGGGAAACUUACGCUAAUACCGCAUACGACCUACGGGUGAAAGCAGGGGAUCUUCGGACCUUGCGCGAUUGAAUGAGCCGAUGUCGGAUUAGCUAGUUGGCGGGGUAAAGGCCCACCAGGGCGACGAUCCGUAGCUGGUCUGAGAGGAUGAUCAGCCACACUGGAACUGAGACACGGUCCAGACUCCUACGGGAGGCAGCAGUGGGGAAUAUUGGACAAUGGGCGCAAGCCUGAUCCAGCCAUACCGCGUGGGUGAAGAAGGCCUUCGGGUUGUAAAGCCCUUUUGUUGGGAAAGAAAAGCAGCAGGUUAAUACCCCGCUGUUCUGACGGUACCCAAGGAAUAAGCACCGGCUAACUUCGUG
rnacentral:rRNA from 1 species